GGCGGUGCCCCUUCCCCUCCCCCCUGCCUCCCUCUUGGCUUGUAGGGCGGUGCCCCCCUCCCCCCCUCGUCCCUUGGGCAUUGGCCCUUCCCCCUUCUCAGGCUGGCACCACCACCCCUUACUGCUCCUCCUCUCCCCUUCCUCGGGCUUAUAACCCUCUCCCUGUUCCCCUCCCCCACUCAGGCCAUCCCCCACCAUCUCAAUUCAGACCCCAGCCUGGCUCUGACCUCCUUUCCCUUCUCUUCUCUUCCCUUCCCUUCCCUUCCCUUCCUAACCCUCCGCCCCCAUCCCCGGCCCAGAACCAGCAAAACCCAGUCUGCCCCUGCCUCUUUUUGGAGAUGCCCGCUGUUCCCCUCACCCACGCCUAAGGCUUUUGGGAAGUAUUUUCUAGCCCAGAAGCUGAGUUCUUUCCACCACUACCACCCUCCCGAAAAGUAAAAAGAAAUGGGGGGGUCCCCUACCAUGACUGUAUGAGGGUGAAUGGAACCUUCUCCUUAUUGGUCAGGAGAGUGAAUGAAAUCCCCCCAUUGGCCAGGACAGUGAAUGGAACCCCCCCCUCCUUUAUUGGCCCUGAAGGGGUUUAUUUUCUCCCCCCAUCCCUGACUGUAUCCAGCUCCAAGCCUUUCCCACCAGGAUGUCCCCUUCAUACCUCUGCAGAGCAAAUUGGAGCCAAGUGAAUUUGAACUCAAGACCAUUUGCCAGUCCAGAGACCCUCUUCUGAGCAAUCUCUGGCACAUCCACGAUCCUCCUCAAACGUGGCUCCCAACCCCAAAGCAAACAGUGUGACUAUUCCAGGAGGUGGUUUCACAGGGGCAAAGUACCAGGGCCCCAGGAGCUCCCUACUCCUAGACACCAUGUCGCUCCUAAAGUAGUCCAAGACUGAAUUAACUUUGUUGGCUGCCACAUCCUCCUGAUGACUCAGAUCCAUCUUAAGCGUCCACCAAAAUCUCCAGAUUGUUUUCAGAUCAGCUGCAGUGUAGCCGUGCCCCUCCUCCCAACUUUAUACAAUCAAAAGGGCACUUGUGGAAGCCAAGUCUAAGGCUUAUUGUUAUCUCUCUGAUAUGUCAUCAUCUUGUGUAACUCGGUUCAGUGUCCUGGCCUGCCGGGAUCUCUUUGUCACAUGAUGGUGUCAUCCCGGGUGCUCUGCUGCCCCUCCCAGCGCUGGGUCACCCAGAGAUUUGAUGAGCAUGCCACCCAUGCUUUUAGCUAAGGAACUGAUGAAACUGUUGAACCACACUGAGCUAAGAACAGAUGAGAAACUCCACUCGAAACUGCCUCGUAGAUAGACUUCAAACUUCCUUUAGUCGCUCGGCCAGUUCUAAAUCCACCUAACUGUUCUAUCAUCUGGCCCACACCUCUCCAUCCUUUCCAAGAGAAAAGCCUCCCUAAGUCAAAUCGCUCUCAUGCCCCGAUCUACCAGUAUGGUUACCAGUCAAACAAGGAAUAAAGUUACUCUGGCAUCCUACCACCCGCCGGCUGCCACUUUCCUUGCACUCACCAUUGCUCCGGCAGUGCCCAUCAGAACCUCCAAAGAGCGUGGGAAGAGCAGGACUGACCAUUUCCCUAGGGCUCUGCUUCCAAUUUCUGUGACUAGGUCACAGGCUGCCCUCUCUGGUUCAUGCUCUUUGCAUUCCUCAUACCCAGCCAUGGCAGACCUAAGCUCACAGGGUCCCGAACCAUCUCUAUGUCUUCUAUUGUGCCAGACGAAGUCAAUUAUAGCCCCAUCUCCCACCCCCUUCUCCUCCUCAGUUCUGUACUCUGACCAAACUAGCCCACAUGCUUUUUACUCUAUGGGACAUUCUACUUUCAGCUUCCACACCAUUUUGAGAUGUCCCCAAUGCCUGGAAUGUUUUCCCUUCUCACCUCCACCUCUUGAAACUCCCUCAGUCCCUUUAAGCCCCUGAGCUCAAGGGCUACUUCCUUCAAGAAAGCUUUCCUGGAGCAGCUAGCUGGCACAGUGGAUAGAGUGCCAAGCCUGGAGUUGGAAGGUCCCGGGUUCAAAUCUGGCCUCAGACACUUCUAGCUGUGUGACCCUGGGCAAGUCACUUAGCCCCCAUUGCCCAGUCCUUACCACUCUUCUGUCUCAGAACUAAUAAGACAGAAGGUAAAUGUUUAAAAAACAUUUUCUUUCCUUGAGUGAGAAAGAGUAUGCCCUCACCCUAUCAAUGUGUAUUUGUUUAUGUGUAUGUGUGUGAAUAUAGCUAAAGAUCCAAACAGCCUUCAUUUUCUUAUGUGGCAAUAAGUUGCAUCCCUUUGGUAAAAUGUAAGCUUCUUGAAGGCAAAGACUUUCAUUUAAAAUUUUUUAUUUUCCUGGAACACAAUAGUACUUAAUAAAUACUUUUUUGAUUGACUGAUAAAAA